rnacentral:ncRNA from 2 species
AUGAUUACAAGGGGAGAGUUUAUAAAUUCCUAUAUAAGGAAUUUAUAACGCCGAAGGAGCAAGCGGGAUUGCGAAUCUCUCAGGCAAAAAGACUCUUGUAGGACG